rnacentral:misc_RNA from 1 species
CAGGACUCGCAAGACUCCUACAACCCUGUGAACCUACUAUACGAACGUUGCUUCGGCGGGUGCGCCCCGAGGAUUCGUUCCCGCGGCGCGUCAGCCCGCCGGCAGCCUACAAAUUCUGUUUCUUUGCGUUGGCAUCUCGAGAAAAACAAAUAAGUUA